UACGUAGGGUGCGAGCGUUUGUCCGGAAUUAUUGGGCGUAAAGAGCUUGUAGGCGGUUUGUCGCGUCUGCUGUGAAAAUCCGGGGCUCAACCCCGGACUUGCAGUGGGUACGGGCAGGCUAGAGUGUGGUAGGGGAGACUGGAAUUCCUGGUGUAGCGGUGGAAUGCGCAGAUAUCAGGAGGAACACCGAUGGCGAAGGCAGGUCUCUGGGCCACUACUGACGCUGAGAAGCGAAAGCAUGGGGAGCGAACAGG
rnacentral:rRNA from 1 species